UGGGGAAUAUUGGACAAUGGGCGAAAGCCUGAUCCAGCCAUGCCGCGUGUGUGAAGAAGGUCUUCGGAUUGUAAAGCACUUUAAGUUGGGAGGAAGGGCAGUAAGCGAAUACCUUGCUGUUUUGACGUUACCGACAGAAUAAGCACCGGCUAACUCUGUGCCAGCAGCCGCGGUAAUACAGAGGGUGCAAGCGUUAAUCGGAAUUACUGGGCGUAAAGCGCGCGUAGGUGGUUCGUUAAGUUGAAUGUGAAAGCCCCGGGCUCCACCUGGGAACUGCAUCCAAAACUGGCGAGCUAGAGUAGGGCAGAGGGUGGUGGAAUUUGCUGUGUAGCGGUGAAAUGCGUAGAUAUAGGAAGGAACACCAGUGGCGAAGGCGACCACCUGGGCUCAUACUGACACUGAGGUGCGAAAGCGUGGGGAGCAAACAGG
rnacentral:rRNA from 1 species